rnacentral:rRNA from 1 species
GUGGGGAAUCUUGCGCAAUGGGCGAAAGCCUGACGCAGCGACGCCGCGUGGGGGAGGAAGCUUUUCGGAGUGUAAACCUCUGUCAGGGGGGAAGAAUGGGCACCCGAGGAAAUGCGGGUGUUUUGACGGUACCUCCAAAGGAAGCACCGGCUAACUCUGUGCCAGCAGCCGCGGUAAUACAGAGGGUGCGAGCGUUGUUCGGAAUUACUGGGCGUAAAGCGCGCGCAGGCGGCCUUUUAAGUCUACCCGUGAAAUGCCGGAGCUCAACUCCGUGCACGCCGGGGGAUACUGGAGGGCUGGAGACAGGUAGAGGCAGGCGGAAUUCCGGGUGUAGCGGUGGAAUGCGUAGAGAUCCGGAAGAACACCAGAGGCGAAGGCGGCCUGCUGGGCCUUGUCUGACGCUGAGGCGCGAAAGCGUGGGGAGCGAACAGGAUUAGAAACCCCAGUAGUCC